rnacentral:rRNA from 1 species
CUACGGGCGGCUCCAGUGAGGAAUAUUGCACAAUGGGGGGAACCCUGAUGCAGUAACGCCGCGUGGAGGAUGACGCAUUUCGGUGUGUAAACUCCUUUUAUAUGUCAAGAAAAUGACGGCAGCAUAUGAAUAAGCACCGGCUAACUCCGUGCCAGCAGUCGCGGUAAUACGGAGGGUGCAAGCGUUACUCGGAAUCACUGGGCGUAAAGGACGCGUAGGCGGGUUGGAAAGUCAGGUGUGAAAUCCUACAGCUUAACUGUAGAACUGCACUUGAAACUUCUAAUCUAGAGUAUGGGAGGGGGAGAUGGAAUUAGUGGUGUAGGGGUAAAAUCCGUAGAUAUCACUAGGAAUACCUAAAGCGAAGGCGAUCUCCUGGAACAUUACUGACGCUAAGGCGUGAAAGCGUGGGGAGCAAACAGGAUUAGAUACCCCUGUAGUC